UACGUAGGGGGCUAGCGUUGUCCGGAAUCAUUGGGCGUAAAGAGCUCGUAGGCGGUUUGUUGCGUCGGCCGUGAAAACCUGCAGCUUAACUGUGGGCCUGCGGCCGAUACGGGCAGACUUGAGUUCGGUAGGGGAGACUGGAAUUCCUGGUGUAGCGGUGAAAUGCGCAGAUAUCAGGAGGAACACCGGUGGCGAAGGCGGGUCUCUGGGCCGAUACUGACGCUGAGGAGCGAAAGCGUGGGGAGCGAACAGG
rnacentral:rRNA from 1 species